rnacentral:rRNA from 1 species
AUACGUAGGUGACAAGCGUUAUCCGGAUUUACUGGGCGUAAAGGGCGUGUAGGCGGUCUUGCAAGUCAGAAGUGAAAUUCCUGAGCUCAACUCGGGCGCUGCUUCUGAAACUGCAGGACUUGAGUGCUGGAGGGGAUAGCGGAAUUCCUAGUGGAGCGGUAAAAUGCGAAGAUAUUAGGAAGAAUACCGGUGGCGAAGGCGGCUCUCUGGACAGUAACUGACGCUGAGGCGCGAAAGCGUGGGGAGCAAACAGGAUUAGAUACCCUGGUAGUCCACGCUGUAAACGAUGAAGACUAGGUGUGGGGGGACUGAGCCCCUCCGUGCCGCAGUUAACACAAUAAGUAUUCCGCCUGGGGAGUACGAUCGCAAGGUUGAAACUCAAAUGAAUUGACGGGG